AUUCAGGAGAGCAGAAACGUCACGUGUAUCUGGGCAGACGUGAAACAAACAGGAAGUCACAAACUGUCACAGGAGGAUAUUUGCUCUCAGGGUUUUGCACAUUUGAUUUUAUUGUUGUUUUUAUGACUUUUUAUUUCCUGUUUCCCCUCGCGCCUGUGGCAGAGUUUAUCCACUGAGCCCGGAGGCACGAGAGGAGCGGGUGUAAGGCCAGGGAGAACCGGCUGGAUGGUCCGGACCAGGCAGGAGCAGCGUCUGCUUCAGACCCAGAGUGUUGUGUCCAAAUACUGUGAUGUUUCUAACUUCAGCCUCAUCUGUGUGAAAGAACAAAGCAGUCGAUGUUGUAAAUGUGAAGGAUCAGUGACUGUCUGUCCCGCUGUCACCAUGGCAACAGAAAGACUCGACUGAAGCCAUCAAAUCUGCUCAAAGACUUUCAGACUGAAACUGCAGCCGCCGUCCUAAACGUGGAGCUGUUCCAACUCUGUUCACAUGGAAUAACUUUACUGAACCAGAGAGUCUGUGUCUGCCAUGGAAAAGGCUCAGAAACGAGCUCGUCCUCUCACAGCAAACGAGUCAGGCUGAAGCUGCUCCUGCUCCCACAAACCAUCCAGGUGCACUUGAUGAAGCCCUUAAAUACCAAGGCGUUGGAAGCCAGGCUGGAGAAAGUGACUUUGUGUCCGCUCUUUAGUCGCUGCUGCGCCUCGGACGAUCUGCAAAUGUCAGAGCAAGAGAAACAAACCUGUAGAGAAAAUAAGUUCCAUUUGCACAAUGACAGAACGCUAACAGGAAGUGACCGUUUUUCGGGGUUCGUGAAAAAGGUCUAUUUAAUGUUUUGAACAGCAUAAAACUGAUUAUACGCCCCAUAGUCUUAAGUGUUUUAGCUUAUGUUUAUCUUAACUCUGUGUUAUAUGUUUUAUGUCGCACGUUUGCACUGAGAAAAAUUCCUAGUUUGUGAACCUGUUCUCAAACCAUGGCAAUAAAACCUAUUCUGAUUCUGAUUCUGAAAUCAGACGAACAAAAAUACAUUCACACGUUGAGUGACGACACGCCCCCCUGGAGGGCAAAAGGAAAGCGCAUGCCAAAGUGCUACAAUAAUUAGCUAACAACGUUUGACAACGCAGCACAACAAAACAAUCCAGUAAUCAGUAUGGCGAACACAUGGAGCAUUAUCGGCAGCACAAACAGGCGAAGGAAAGAGUGAUAUCACCACUUCAAAACCGUGGGAGCAAAAAUAUUACGAUUGAAUUUGCUCUGUUCACUUCAUUGGAGGUAAGUAAAUGAAGAGGUAGCCUAAUUUUGUUUGUGUGAAUGUGUUUAUGUAAUUUUGUCAUGUAUUUACAUCAUACCAUUGUGCAAACCUAAUACUAAUCUGAAGCUAACAAAUUAGCAAAGACUUUGAUGCUUGUAUUUAUUGUCAAACCUUUUAAACGAUGCAUUAUAUAUCACAUAUUACAUUAUACCGGUUUAUUUCCUUUUAAUAAGUCCAUGCUGGGCAUUGGUGGAGCUUUGGGACUACAACAUGUGUAAUAGCUUUGUGAUUCUUUUCAGGUAAACCAUGUGACGAUCCUGGAAGUCCGAGCUACAGUCCCUCCAUAUUCAGCUUCACAUCACAGGCCGAACAGUCCAGACGUGUUGAAGAUCGAUAUGAACGGCUUAGAAAACGUCAAACACCUGUUGAGUCCAUAAAUGAAGAUGUGCAGCAGAUGCACUUCUGUCACCGAGGUCAAAUCUGAC
ensembl:lncRNA